AUAUGAAGUCGGAAUUGNUAGUAAUCGCGGAUCAGCAUGCCGCGGUGAAUACGUUCCCGGGCCUUGUACACACCGCCCGUCACACCAUGAGAGUCGAUAACACCCGAAGCCUGUAGUCUAACAGCAAUGAGGACGCAGUCGAAGGUGGGAUUGAUAAGUUAGGGUGAAGUCGUAACAAGGUAUC
rnacentral:rRNA from 1 species